GUGAAUACCAAAAUAGGAGAAAAUUUCAGAACUUUAAAAAACAUUUUGAAGUCUAAUUUGAUUUAAAAAUUAAUAAAACUCAGUGUUUAUUGAAUGUUUCCCAAGGGCCAGACAAUGUGCUGAGGGCAAAGCGCAAAAGAAAGGAGGUAUUUCUUACCACCAAUAUAAUUCUGCCUUCCAGGACCCGGCUAUUAGAAAAGAGGUUCAAUGUGAAUAUACUGACAAUAACAACAAAAAAAGAGAUUAGAGAAUUAAGAAAGAAAAUUCUAGAGGGCUUAAAGAUCACAUCUGGAAGGAUCUGAAAGGCCUCUUGAAGGAAAUAGAAAAAAAAAUUCUGGCUAAUUCCUCUAAUACUUCUGGACCCUCAUUGGCUAGGAAAUCAUGCUGUGUUCCCAUAUCUAUUUUCUGGUUCCGUGGAAGCUUCUUGAGUACAUGUCUAAUUUGGUUGGGUUCCCCCACUCUCGUACAGCUUCUCAUACAGGAUGCCUUAGAUGUCUUGUUUAUAAUAUUUCAAGCAGCUUCGGGUCCAAUGAGCUAUUGCAACACUAUGGCAUUGACAAUAACUAAAAGUUUUCUCACCUUGGAAUGGCAGGUGUCUUAGUUCCUACCUGCUGCUCCCCCACCUCAGGCAGAGAUGGAUAAGGUAAAGCUAAAAAGAGUACCUCACUUGACCAGGCCCUUCCUUAAUAAUAGCCAUACAAAUGUGUUUAAAAAUCAGGUGCUUUUGGAUGAUUUGAAAAAAUAAAAUAUCUAUAUUCAUUUAACA
rnacentral:lncRNA from 1 species